rnacentral:rRNA from 1 species
AGUGAACGCUGGCGGUAGGCCUAACACAUGCAAGCCGAACGGCAGCACAGUAAGAGCUUGCUCUUACGGGUGGCGAGUGGCGGACGGGAGAGGAAUACAUCGGAAUCUACUUUUUCGUGGGGGAUAACGUAGGGAAACUUACGCUAAUACCGCAUACGACCUACGGGGGAAAGCAGGGGAUCUUCGGACCUUGCGCGAUUGAAUGAGCCGAUGUCGGAUUAGCUAGUUGGCGGGGUAAAGGCCCACCAAGGCGACGAUCCGUAGCUGGUCUGAGAGGAUGAUCGGCCACACUGGAACUGAGACACGGUCCAGACUCCUACGGGAGGCAGCAGUGGGGAAUAUUGGACAAUGGGCGCAAGCCUGAUCCAGCCAUACCGCGUGGGUGAAGAAGGCCUUCGGGUUGUAAAGCCCUUUUGUUGGGAAAGAAAAGCAGCAGGUUAAUACCCCGCUGUUCUGACGGUACCCAAAGAAUAAGCACCGGCUAACUUCGUG